rnacentral:rRNA from 1 species
AACGCGAAGAACCUUACCUGGUCUUGACAUCCUCGGAAGCUGCUAGAGAUAGCGGGGUGCCCGCAAGGGAACCGAGAGACAGGUGCUGCAUGGCUGUCGUCAGCUCGUGUCGUGAGAUGUUGGGUUAAGUCCCGCAACGAGCGCAACCCUCGCCUUUAGUUGCCACGCAAGUGGAUCUCUAGAGGGACUGCCGGUGUUAAACCGGAGGAAGGUGGGGAUGACGUCAAGUCCUCAUGGCCUUUAUGACCAGGGCUACACACGUGCUACAAUGGCCGGUACAAAGCGCUGCCAACUCGUAAGAGGGAGCCAAUCGCAUAAAACCGGUCUCAGUUCAGAUUGAAGUCUGCAACUCGACUUCAUGAAGGCGGAAUCGCUAGUAAUCGCGGAUCAGCACGCCGCGGUGAAUACGUUCCCGGGCCUUGUACACACCGCGAGC